AGUCUCUGGAUAUAGACCCGAAACCGAGUGAUCUAGCCAUGGGCAGGUUGAAGAUUGAGUAACAUCAAUUGGAGGACCGAACCGACUAAUGUUGAAAAAUUAGCGGAUGACUUGUGGCUAGGGGUGAAAGGCCAAUCAAACUCGGAGAUAGCUGGUUCUCCCCGAAAGCUAUUUAGGUAGCGCCUCGGACGAAUACUACUGGGGGUAGAGCACUGUUAAGGCUAGGGGGUCAUCCCGACUUACCAACCCUUUGCAAACUCCGAAUACCAGUAAGUACUAUCCGGGAGACACACGGCGGGUGCUAACGUCCGUCGUGGAGAGGGAAACAACCCAGACCGCCAGCUAAGGUCCCAAAUUACUACUAAGUGGGAAACGAUGUGGGAAGGCUCAGACAGCCAGGAUGUUGGCUUAGAAGCAGCCAUCAUUUAAAGAAAGCGUAAUAGCUCACUGGUCGAGUCGGCCUGCGCGGAAGAUGUAACGGGGCUAAGUAGUAAACCGAAGCUGCGGCUGCAAUCGUAAGAUUGUGGGGUAGGGGAGCGUUCUGUAAGCCGUUGAAGGUGUGUUGUAAAGCAUGCUGGAGGUAUCAGAAGUGCGAAUGCUGACAUGAGUAACGAUAAUGGGGGUGAAAAACCCCCACGCCGGAAGACCAAGGGUUCCUGUCCAACGUUAAUCGGGGCAGGGUAAGUCGACCCCUAAGGCGAGGCUGAAAAGCGUAGUCGAUGGGAAACGGGUUAAUAUUCCCGUACUGCUUAUAAUUGCGAUGGGGGGACGGAGAAGGCUAGGUGGGCCUGGCGACGGUUGUCCAGGUUCAAGUGCGUAGGCUAAGAGACUAGGUAAAUCCGGUUUCUUGUUAGGCUGAGACACGACGUCGAGCUACUACGGUAGUGAAGUCAUUGAUGCCAUGCUUCCAGGAAAAGCCUCUAAGCUUCAGAUUAUAAGCAAUCGUACCCCAAACCGACACAGGUGGUCGGGUAGAGAAUACCAAGGCGCUUGAGAGAACUCGGGUGAAGGAACUAGGCAAAAUGGUACCGUAACUUCGGGAGAAGGUACGCUCUUGGCGGUGAAGUCCCUAGCGGAUGGAGCUACUGAGAGUCGCAGAUACCAGGUGGCUGCAACUGUUUAUUAAAAACACAGCACUGUGCAAAAUCGUAAGAUGACGUAUACGGUGUGACGCCUGCCCGGUGCCGGAAGGUUAAUUGAUGGGGUUAGACUUAGGUCGAAGCUCUUGAUCGAAGCCCCGGUAAACGGCGGCCGUAACUAUAACGGUCCUAAGGUAGCGAAAUUCCUUGUCGGGUAAGUUCCGACCUGCACGAAUGGCGUAAUGAUGGCCACGCUGUCUCCACCCGAGACUCAGUGAAAUUGAAAUCGCUGUGAAGAUGCAGUGUACCCGCGGCUAGACGGAAAGACCCCGUGAACCUUUACUACAGCUUGGCACUGAACAUUGAACCUACAUGUGUAGGAUAGGUGGGAGACUUAGAAGCGCAGUCGCUAGAUUGCGUGGAGUCGUCCUUGAAAUACCACCCUUGUAGUUUUGAUGUUCUAACGUUGGCCCCUAAUCGGGGUUGCGGACAGUGCCUGGUGGGUAGUUUGACUGGGGCGGUCUCCUCCCAAAGAGUAACGGAGGAGCACGAAGGUGGGCUAAACACGGUUGGACAUCGUGUGGUUAGUGCAAUGGCAUAAGCCCGCUUAACUGCGAGAAUGACAAUUCGAGCAGGUACGAAAGUAGGUCAUAGUGAUCCGGUGGUUCUGAAUGGAAGGGCCAUCGCUCAACGGAUAAAAGGUACUCCGGGGAUAACAGGCUGAUACCGCCCAAGAGUUCAUAUCGACGGCGGUGUUUGGCACCUCGAUGUCGGCUCAUCACAUCCUGGGGCUGAAGUCGGUCCCAAGGGUAUGGCUGUUCGCCAUUUAAAGUGGUACGCGAGCUGGGUUUAGAACGUCGUGAGACAGUUCGGUCCCUAUCUGCCGUGGGCGUUGGAAGAUUGAAGGGGGCUGCUCCUAGUACGAGAGGACCGGAGUGGACGAACCUCUGGUGUUCGGGUUGUUACGCCAGUAGCAUUGCCCGGUAGCUAAGUUCGGAAUCGAUAACCGCUGAAAGCAUCUAAGCGGGAAGCGAGCCCUGAGAUGAGUCUUCCCUGGCACUUUAAGUGUCCUAAAGGGUUGUUCGAGACUAGAACGUUGAUAGGUUGGGUGUGUAAGCGCUGCGAGGCGUUGAGCUAACCAAUACUAAUUGCCCGUGAGGCUUAACCAUACAACACCGAAGGGGUUUUGU
rnacentral:rRNA from 1 species